rnacentral:rRNA from 1 species
UACCAGACUCCUACGGGAGGCAGCAGUGGGGAAUAUUGCACAAUGGGGGAAACCCUGAUGCAGCAACGCCGCGUGAGUGAAGAAGUAUUUCGGUAUGUAAAGCUCUAUCAGCAGGGAAGAAGAUGACGGUACCUGAUUAAGAAGCCCCGGCUAACUACGUGCCAGCAGCCGCGGUAAUACGUAGGGGGCAAGCGUUAUCCGGAUUUACUGGGUGUAAAGGGAGCGCAGACGGCAGUGCAAGUCUGGAGUGAAAGCCCGGGGCCCAACCCCGGAACUGCUCUGGAAACUGUGCGGCUAGAGUGCAGGAGGGGCAGGCGGAAUUCCUGGUGUAGCGGUGAAAUGCGUAGAUAUCAGGAGGAACACCGGUGGCGAAGGCGGCCUGCUGGACUGCGACUGACGUUGAGGCCCGAAAGCGUGGGGAGCAAACAGGAUUAGAUACCCGCGUAAA